rnacentral:rRNA from 1 species
CAGUAGCCACGGGAAUACGAAGGGGGCUAGCGUUGUUCGGAUUUACUGGGCGUAAAGGGCGCGUAGGCGGACUGAUAAGUCAGGGGUGAAAUCCCAAGGCUCAACCUUGGAACUGCCUUUGAUACUGUUUGUCUUGAGUUCGAGAGAGGUAAGUGGAACUGCGAGUGUAGAGGUGAAAUUCGUAGAUAUUCGCAAGAACACCAGUGGCGAAGGCGGCAUACUGGCUCGAAACUGACGCUGAGGCGCGAAAGCGUGGGGAGCAAACAGGAUUAGAUACCCCAGUAGUCCCUGUCUCUUAUAA